GAUGAACGCUGGCGGCGUGCCUAAUACAUGCAAGUCGAGCGAACAGACGAGGAGCUUGCUCCUCUGACGUUAGCGGCGGACGGGUGAGUAACACGUGGAUAACCUACCUAUAAGACUGGGAUAACUUCGGGAAACCGGAGCUAAUACCGGAUAAUAUAUUGAACCGCAUGGUUCAAUAGUGAAAGACGGUUUUGCUGUCACUUAUAGAUGGAUCCGCGCCGCAUUAGCUAGUUGGUAAGGUAACGGCUUACCAAGGCAACGAUGCGUAGCCAACCUGAGAGGGUGAUCGGCCACACUGGAACUGAGACACGGUCCAGACUCCUACGGGAGGCAGCAGUAGGGAAUAUUCCGCAAUGGGCGAAAGCCUGACGGAGCAACGCCGCGUGAGUGAUGAAGGUCUUCGGAUCGUAAAACUCUGUUAUUAGGGAAGAACAAAUGUGUAAGUAACUAUGCACGUCUUGACGGUACCUAAUCAGAAAGCCACGGCUAACUACGUG
rnacentral:rRNA from 1 species